GAGCACAUGGCCCGACUUUCGGUCGGUGUUGUUGGCGACGAUGUCAAAGACGGCAAUGUUGCGAAACUGCUCGUGCAACUCGGGCCGUGAUUC
rnacentral:tRNA from 1 species